GACGAACGCUGGCGGCGUGCUUAACACAUGCAAGUCGAGCGGAAAGGCCUCCUUCGGGGGGUACUCGAGCGGCGAACGGGUGAGUAACACGUGAGUAAUCUGCCCCUCACUCUGGGAUAACUGCCUGAAAGGGUGGCUAAUACCGGAUGCGACCGUCCCCUGCAUGGGGUGGUGGUGGAAAGGGUUUCUGGUGGGGGAUGUGCUCGCGGCCUAUCAGCUUGUUGGUGGGGUAAUGGCCUACCAAGGCUUUGACGGGUAGCCGGCCUGAGAGGGUGACCGGCCACACUGGGACUGAGACACGGCCCAGACUCCUACGGGAGGCAGCAGUGGGGAAUAUUGGACAAUGGGCGGAAGCCUGAUCCAGCAACGCCGCGUGAGGGAUGACGGCCUUCGGGUUGUAAACCUCUUUCAGCACAGACGAAGCGCCCGUUGUGGGU
rnacentral:rRNA from 1 species